UACGUAGGGUGCAAGCGUUAAUCGGAAUUACUGGGCGUAAAGCGUGCGCAGGCGGUUUUGUAAGUCUGAUGUGAAAUCCCCGGGCUCAACCUGGGAAUUGCAUUGGAGACUGCAAGGCUAGAAUCUGGCAGAGGGGGGUAGAAUUCCACGUGUAGCAGUGAAAUGCGUAGAUAUGUGGAGGAACACCGAUGGCGAAGGC
rnacentral:rRNA from 1 species